UACAGAGGGUGCAAGCGUUAAUCGGAAUUACUGGGCGUAAAGCGUGCGUAGACGGUAGCGUAAGUCGGGUGUGAAAGCCCCGGGCUCAACCUGGGAAUUGCAUUCGAGACUGCUCUGCUAGGGUGCGGAAGAGGGAAGCGGAAUUUCCGGUGUAGCGGUGAAAUGCGUAGAUAUCAGGAGGAACACCUGUGGUGUAGACAGCUUACUGGACCACUUCUGACGCUGAGGCGCGAAAGCGUGGGGAGCAAACAGG
rnacentral:rRNA from 1 species